GCUGGGAGAGGCGGGGCGGGUAGUGGCUUCCUUGUGGUUUUUCCCUUGAGGGUGGAUUUUCCCUGUGGGGAAGGACACAGUGUGCGUGUCUUGCCUUCACUGCCACCUCCUCCUUCUCUCAAUAUCCUCUUGCUGGGAGGAGGUUCCUCAUCUCCGUUGUUGCAUCCAGCUGCUGCUACUGCGAGUGCCACGUGCCUUGUAAGGCACGUACAAUUCAGAGGACUUUCGAAAUUAUCUGAAAACAUGGGUGAUUCUCACUGCCAGCCUUGAUCUGUGAGAAAAGAACCGUAUACCACAGAUCCCAACCCUUCUCAGUGUAUACAACUCUUUUUAUCAUUAAAAAAAAUUAUAGAUUGUUAGACUCCUACCUGACAAAUGUAUUCCUUUAAUAUCCAUUAAUUGAGAAAAUUUACAGUGAUGAACCGCUACUUUCAGGUUGAUAAUGCUAUUUAAAUAAUUUUUACUUAAAAUCACACAUCUACAUAUAUUUGAAAUACAUAUACACACCAUUUUGGGUUGAAUUGUGUCCACCAAAAAGAUACAUCCAAGUUCUAACCUCAAGUACCUGUGAAUGUGACCUUAAGACGAGAUAAUGGAGUGACGUGGGCCCUUCACCAAAUACGUCCAUGUCCUCAUAAGAAGAGAGGAGACACACAGACAAAAAUGCACACAGAAGGAAGAUGAUGUAAAGACAGACAAGGAAGAAGGCUAUGUAAAGACAGAGGCAGAGAUUGAAGUUAAGCAGCUGCAAGCCGAGGAAAGCAGACGAUUGCUGGGAACCACCAGAAGUGAGGAAAAGGCAAGGCAGGAUUCUUCUCUAGAGCCUCCAGAGACAGCAUGACCCUGCUGAUGCCUUGCUUUCUGACUUCUGGGCUUCCAGAACUGUGAGAGAAUAAAUUUCUGUUGUUUUAAGGCCUAUAGUUUGCAGUACUUUGUUACUGCAGCCCUAGGAAACGAAUUCACCUGCAUGUGUUUAACUUUUAUUCUGUCCACAAACAAUACCUGAUGUAUGUAAGUAUUCAUGGAUCGCUGUCAAUAAUUCCGAAGUCCCCAGGUGGGAAAACAGGGUUCAGCCAACAUGAAUUUCUCUCUAUCCCCAAUUAAUAUACUGUGCUUUCCUCCUUUGGUGCCUUA